rnacentral:rRNA from 1 species
GUGGGGAAUUUUGGACAAUGGGGGCAACCCUGAUCCAGCCAUGCCGCGUGCGGGAAGAAGGCCUUCGGGUUGUAAACCGCUUUUGUCAGGGAAGAAAUCCUUUGGGUUAAUACCUCGGAGGGAUGACGGUACCUGAAGAAUAAGCACCGGCUAACUACGUGCCAGCAGCCGCGGUAAUACGUAGGGUGCGAGCGUUAAUCGGAAUUACUGGGCGUAAAGCGUGCGCAGGCGGUUUUGUAAGAUCGAUGUGAAAUCCCCGGGCUCAACCUGGGAACUGCAUGGGUGACUGCAAGGCUGGAGUGCGGCAGAGGGGGAUGGAAUUCCGCGUGUAGCAGUGAAAUGCGUAGAUAUGCGGAGGAACACCGAUGGCGAAGGCAAUCCCCUGGGCCUGCACUGACGCUCAUGCACGAAAGCGUGGGGAGCAAACAGGAUUAGAAACCCGGGUAGUCC